AUAGUUGCUACCUCGACAGAUACAACAAUGUCCUCUGCAAUGGUAACAUUCCUCAUAUUUUCAUGAUCACCGUCAGUUUUUUACAGUUCUUUGAUUCAGUUAAUAAUGGUUUACCUCUGAUACUCGUGUCUCGCCUGUGCUUUUUCUUCAAUGUAAAGGAACGUGGGACACCAUCGUACUCAUCAUAGGUAAGACAUCUCUGCCUUCCUGUUUUCUUAAGCAUGGAAAAGAGACAUAAAAUGCUAAAUUUGAAACUGCAUUGAUAGCAUCUAUAGUGAUCACGAUAA
rnacentral:lncRNA from 1 species